CAAUCGAACUCGGAGAUAGCUGGUUCUCCUCGAAAUAGCUUUAGGGCUAGCCUUGUGUAGUAGUAUAUGGGGGUAGAGCACUGACUGAGGUAGGGGCCUAACCAGGUUACCAAACUCUAUCAAACUCCGAAUACCGUAUAUGUAAGCACAGGAGUCAGACUGCGGGAGCUAAGUUCCGUGGUCAAAAGGGAAAGAGCCCAGAUCGUCAAUUAAGGUCCCAAAGAUAUAGCUAAGUGGCAAACGAUGUGAUUUUGCGUAAACAACCAGGAUGUUGGCUUAGAAGCAGCCAUACAUUUAAAGAGUGCGUAAUAGCUCACUGGUCGAGUGAAGUUGCGCGGAAAAUUACCGGGGCUAAGCUAUACACCGAAAUUGCGGAUUUACACUUGAAAGACAGUGUAAGUGGUAGAGGAGCAUUCUGUAGUAGGGAGAAGCAAAAGCGAGAGCAUUUGUGGACGAGGCAGAAGAGAGAAUGCUGGAAUAAGUAGCGAGAGCAAGGUGAGAAUCCUUGCCGUCGAAAGUCUAAGGUUUCCUGGGGAAGGUUCGUCCGCCCAGGGUAAGUCGGGACCUAAGGUGAGGCUGAAAAGCGUAGCCGAUGGAUAGCAGGUUGAGAUUCCUGCACUAUAGAUAUACUUAAAAGAUGCAAGGGACGCAGGAGUGGAAGAUAAGCGAGGAAGAGGAAAGACUCGUAUCGCAAGAUAUAGUGAAAAUAAAGUAACGAAUUAUCAAGAAGCACACUGACGAGAAAAGCUUGUAGAUAUUGUAUAUAAAUACCCGUACCGCAAACCGACACAGGUAGAUGAGGAGAGGAUCCUAAGACGAGCGGGAGAAGCAUUGUUAAGGAACUCGGCAAAUUAACCCCGUAACUUCGGGAGAAGGGGUGCCAAGGUAACACUUGGCCGCAGUGAAGAGGUUCAAGCAACUGUUUAACAAAAACACAGGUUUCUGCUAAAUCGAAAGAUGAAGUAUAGGAGCUGACGCCUGCCCAGUGCUGGAAGGUCAAAGGGAAGUGUUAGUAUUAACUACGAAGCACAGAACUCAAGCCCCAGUGAACGGCGGCCGUAACUAUAACGGUCCUAAGGUAGCGAAAUUCCUUGUCAGGUAAGUUCUGACCCGCACGAAAGGCGUAAUGAUUUGAACACUGUCUCGACAAUGUACCCGGCGAAAUUGUAGUACUAGUGAAGAUGCUAGUUACCUGCGACAAGACAGAAAGACCCCAUGGAGCUUUACUGCAGCUUGAUACUGGGUUUUGGUAAUUUAUGUACAGGAUAGGUGGGAUACAUUGAAGCAAGGGCGCCAGCUUUUGUGGAGUAGACGUUGGGAUACCACUCUUAAAUUAUUGAAAUUCUAACCUGUGAUCAUGAACUGGUCAGGGGACAAUGUCAGGCGGGCAGUUUGACUGGGGCGGUCGCCUCCUAAAGAGUAACGGAGGCGCCCAAAGGUUUCCUCAGCACGGACAGAAAUCGUGCAUAAGAGUGUAAAGGCAGAAGGAAGCUUAACUGGGAGACUGACAAGUCGAGCAGAUACGAAAGUAGGGCUUAGUGAUCCGGCGGUAGUGAGUGGAAAUGCCGUCGCUCAACGGACAAAAGUUACCCUGGGGAUAACAGGCUUAUCUCCCCCAAGAGUUCACAUCGACGGGGAGGUUUGGCACCUCGAUGUCGGCUCAUCGCAUCCUGGAGCGGAAGUACGUUCCAAGGGUUGGGCUGUUCGCCCAUUAAAGCGGUACGCGAGCUGGGUUCAGAACGUCGUGAGACAGUUCGGUCCUUAUCUGUCGCAGGCGUAGGAUAUUUGAAGGGAGCUGUCCUUAGUACGAGAGGACCAGGAUGGACAUACCGAUGGUGUAUCAGUUGUCACACCAGUGGCACGGCUGAGUAGCUAAGUAUGGAAGGGAUAAACGCUGAAAGCAUCUAAGUGUGAAGCCCACCUUAAGAUAAGAUAUCCCAUUGCACAAGCAAGUAAGAUCCCAUGAAGACUACAUGGUAGAUAGGUUGGGGGUGUAAGUACAGUAAUGUAUUAAGCUGACCAAUACUAAUAGAUCGAGGGCUUAACCAC
rnacentral:rRNA from 1 species